rnacentral:rRNA from 1 species
GAUGAACGCUGGCGGCGUGCUUAACACAUGCCAGUCGAACGGAAAGGCCCAAGCUUGCUUGGGUACUCGAGUGGCGAACGGGUGAGUAACACGUGGGUGAUCUGCCCUGCACUUCGGGAUAAGCCUGGGAAACUGGGUCUAAUACCGGAUAGGACGAUGGUUUGGAUGCCAUUGUGGAAAGUUUUUUCGGUGUGGGAUGAGCUCGCGGCCUAUCAGCUUGUUGGUGGGGUAAUGGCCUACCAAGGCGUCGACGGGUAGCCGGCCUGAGAGGGUGUACGGCCACAUUGGGACUGAGAUACGGCCCAGACUCCUACGGGAGGCAGCAGUGGGGAAUAUUGCACAAUGGGCGCAAGCCUGAUGCAGCGACGCCGCGUGGGGGAUGACGGCCUUCGGGUUGUAAACCCCUUUCGCUAGGGACGAAGCGUUUUUGUGACGGUACCUGGAGAAGAAGCACCGGCUAACUACGUG